CCUACGGGUGGCUGCAGUGGGGAAUAUUGCACAAUGGGCGCAAGCCUGAUGCAGCCAUGCCGCGUGUGUGAAGAAGGCCUUCGGGUUGUAAAGCACUUUCAGCGGGGAGGAAGGCGGUGAGGUUAAUAACCUCAUCUGUUGACGUUACCCGCAGAAGAAGCACCGGCUAACUCCGUGCCAGCAGCCGCGGUAAUACGGAGGGUGCAAGCGUUAAUCGGAAUUACUGGGCGUAAAGCGCACGCAGGCGGUCUGUCAAGUCGGAUGUGACAUCCCCGGGCUCAACCUGGGAACUGCAUUCGAAAAUGGCAGGCUAGAGUCUUGUAGAGGGGGGUAGAAUUCCAGGUGUAGCGGUGAAAUGCGUAGAGAUCUGGAGGAAUACCGGUGGCGAAGGCAGCCCCCUGGACAAAGACUGACGCUCAGGUGCGAAAGCGUGGGGAGCAAACAGGAUUAGAUACCCUAGUAGUC
rnacentral:rRNA from 1 species